GCUGAGUCCGCUCUGGAGUGAAAUAAAGCUUGGUUUUGCCUUUGCUGAGUGAAACAGAACUUCGGUUUUGCCUUUGCUGGAUACUGAUCUGAUCGUCGCAAGUCUGGUGACCUGCUGCAGAAGAUCCUCUCUC